rnacentral:rRNA from 1 species
UACGGAGGGUGCAAGCGUUAUCCGGAUUCACUGGGUUUAAAGGGUGCGUAGGUGGGUUGAUAAGUCAGUGGUGAAAUCCCCGAGCUUAACUUGGGAACUGCCAUUGAUACUGACGGGCUUGAGUACAGACGAGGUUGGCGGAAUUGAUUGUGUAGCGGUGAAAUGCAUAGAUACAAUCAAGAACUCCGAUUGCGUAGGCAGCUAACUAGGCUGUAACUGACGCUGAGGCACGAAAGCGUGGGGAGCGAACAGG